AGCGAACGCUGGCGGCAGGCCUAACACAUGCAAGUCGAAUGGACCCUUCGGGGUUAGUGGCGGACGGGUGAGUAACACGUGGGAACGUGCCUUUAGGUUCGGAAUAGCUCCUGGAAACGGGUGGUAAUGCCGAAUGUGCCCUUCGGGGGAAAGAUUUAUCGCCUUUAGAGCGGCCCGCGUCUGAUUAGCUAGUUGGUGAGGUAAUGGCUCACCAAGGCGACGAUCAGUAGCUGGUCUGAGAGGAUGACCAGCCACAUUGGGACUGAGACACGGCCCAAACUCCUACGGGAGGCAGCAGUGGGGAGUCUUGCGCAAUGGGCGAAAGCCUGACGCAGCCAUGCCGCGUGGAUGAUGAAGGUCUUAGGAUUGUAAAAUCCUUUCACCGGUGAAGAUAAUGACUGUAGCCGGAGAAGAAGCCCCGGCUAACUUCGUGCCAGCCGCCGCAGUAAAAC
rnacentral:rRNA from 1 species